GACGAACGCUGGCGGCGUGCUUAACACAUGCAAGUCGAACGAUGAUGCCCAGCUUGCUGGGUGGAUUAGUGGCGAACGGGUGAGUAACACGUGAGUAACCUGCCCCUGACUCUGGGAUAAGCGUUGGAAACGAUGUCUAAUACUGGAUAUGAUCACUGGCCGCAUGGUCUGGUGGUGGAAAGAUUUUUUGGUUGGGGAUGGACUCGCGGCCUAUCAGCUUGUUGGUGAGGUAAUGGCUCACCAAGGCGACGACGGGUAGCCGGCCUGAGAGGGUGACCGGCCACACUGGGACUGAGACACGGCCCAGACUCCUACGGGAGGCAGCAGUGGGGAAUAUUGCACAAUGGGCGAAAGCCUGAUGCAGCAACGCCGCGUGAGGGAUGACGGCCUUCGGGUUGUAAACCUCUUUUAGUAGGGAAGAAGCGAAAGUGACGGUACCUGCAGAAAAAGCACCGGCUAACUACGUGCCAGCAGCCGCGGUAAUACGUAGGGUGCAAGCGUUGUCCGGAAUUAUUGGGCGUAAAGAGCUCGUAGGCGGUUUGUCGCGUCUGCUGUGAAAUCCCGAGGCUCAACCUCGGGCUUGCAGUGGGUACGGGCAGACUAGAGUGCGGUAGGGGAGAUUGGAAUUCCUGGUGUAGCGGUGGAAUGCGCAGAUAUCAGGAGGAACACCGAUGGCGAAGGCAGAUCUCUGGGCCGUAACUGACGCUGAGGAGCGAAAGCAUGGGGAGCGAACAGGAUUAGAUACCCUGGUAGUCCAUGCCGUAAACGUUGGGCGCUAGAUGUAGGGACCUUUCCACGGUUUCUGUGUCGUAGCUAACGCAUUAAGCGCCCCGCCUGGGGAGUACGGCCGCAAGGCUAAAACUCAAAGGAAUUGACGGGGGCCCGCACAAGCGGCGGAGCAUGCGGAUUAAUUCGAUGCAACGCGAAGAACCUUACCAAGGCUUGACAUACACCGGAAACGGCCAGAGAUGGUCGCCCCCUUGUGGUCGGUGUACAGGUGGUGCAUGGUUGUCGUCAGCUCGUGUCGUGAGAUGUUGGGUUAAGUCCCGCAACGAGCGCAACCCUCGUUCUAUGUUGCCAGCGGGUUAUGCCGGGGACUCAUAGGAGACUGCCGGGGUCAACUCGGAGGAAGGUGGGGAUGACGUCAAAUCAUCAUGCCCCUUAUGUCUUGGGCUUCACGCAUGCUACAAUGGCCGGUACAAAGGGCUGCGAUACCGUAAGGUGGAGCGAAUCCCAAAAAGCCGGUCUCAGUUCGGAUUGAGGUCUGCAACUCGACCUCAUGAAGUCGGAGUCGCUAGUAAUCGCAGAUCAGCAACGCUGCGGUGAAUACGUUCCCGGGCCU
rnacentral:rRNA from 1 species